rnacentral:rRNA from 1 species
AUGAUCAGCUUGCUGCAACUUCAAGCAGAACUGGAUGUGAAAUAUCAGAUGGAGAGAGAAUCCCGUGCAUCGGCAUUGAAUGUGCAGAUGGGUUUGGUUGAAGGGAUUAUUGACAUCUCUGACAGUGAACGCAACGAUGAAGUUAAUUUUGAAGAGUGGUCUGAUCCUGAGCAUGCUAAACUGGUUGAGACAGAUAGAAGGUUGAGAGAGCAAGAGGAGAAAGAUGCAGAGGUCGUGAAGAUGUAUCAGGAAAUGUAUGGCAAAAAUGAUGGGCACCAAGAAGUCUCAGGCACGGAUAAUGAUUCACUUGUUGAGAAGCACCGUAAGUUAAGGGAGCAAGAGGAAAAAGACACCAAGGUUGCAAUGAUGUAUCAAACACUGUAUGAUCAAAAUGCUACUGAAGCUCAGAUCACCAAUGUGCCAGCAAACAGAAUUCUUGCUCAGGCGGCAAAACCUGCAGGUCGGGAAAGAAGCCCCAUGGAGGGUGGGCGUAGAGGACGGGGGUGCGUUGGUGGUGCCUCCAGGGCAGGGAACAUGAAUUCCAUGAAGUGGUCUUGGAGGCGGAAAGGGAAGAAGUCGGAAACGGGAUCCAAGGGGCAGAGGAGAGUGAGGUUCUCGAACACUGUGGAGACGAUAUGCCCAUCGAAAUCCUGA